CAAGGGUAAUCAGUGAUAGCACAAGGGGGAAAGGCUUUAAACUGACAGAGGGCAGAUUUAGACUAGAUAUUAAGAAGAAAUUAUUUAUGGUGAGGG